GAUGAACGCUGGCGGCGUGCUUAACACAUGCAAGUCGAACGAGGAUUUAACGGAAUGCGAUUCGUCAAAUGAAAUUAAAUCCGAGUGGCGGACGGGUGAGUAACGCGUGGAUAACCUGCCUCACACAGGGGGACAACAGUUGGAAACGACUGCUAAUACCGCAUAACACAAGUAAUUCGCAUGAAUAACUUGCCAAAGAUUAUAUCGGUGUGAGAUGGAUCCGCGUCUGAUUAGCCAGUUGGCGGGGUAACGGCCCCACCAAAAGCGACGAUCAGUAGCCGACCUGAGAGGGUGACCGGCC
rnacentral:rRNA from 1 species